AUUUCCGAGAAUUUCAGGCAAAAAUCAAAAACUUUUCUCCGAAUUUGAAAUCCCAAUUCGAAUCCACCGGAAGGGGAGAGGCGGCGCGACGCGAAUGGCGCGGCGGCGGCGGGAGAGGCGGCAGCUCGCUCGCCUCUGCGACCUCGUCGCCUGCGCACUCCUCCCCCACCUCGAACCCAAGCCGCCGGCCACGCGGCUCACACGGGAGGACGAGCGGCGGAUCCUCCUCGCGCUCUCCCGAGUAAGUAAGGCGAUUCGAGGAUGGGAAGAGGAAGAGGAGGAAGAGGAGGAGGAGGACGACGACGAAGGGUGCGAAUUGGAUCAGGAGAUUAUUUCAUGUUCCGCGGAAGUUCACAGUUGCAGUUUACCAGCUAACCAGCAUUUUGAUGAUGGAUUUAGCUGCCUGGCCAAUAUUAUCUCCAUAUUGGUUGGCUUCUUUGGUUUCUGUAGCAGUUAUGUUAAACACUCAGCUGGGAAUAUCCUGAUUGUCAUCUCUGACUCUCUAAUGAAGUUUGAGGUUGUUUGGAUUCAAUUUGUUGAGCUGGUCUGGAUAGCUAUACAUACAGUAUCAACAUGCGCUCAUAGUGCUUUACCUUCUUUAAUUGACUCCAUCAGCAGUUUCAGAAAAGACUCGAUUUGCUAUUGCUCUGUUAUGGAAAGUCUAAGUCACGACAUUAUUAUUUCAAGCACCAAUAUCACAAGCUUCGUGGAAUUACUUCAGCUACGGUGUCUUGAUAUCAAUGGGCAUAUGGUGGCCAGUCUCUUUCGAGUACUGCACACUAUUUUAAAGUUCCUUAAACACACUGAUAAUGAACUGAAAGAGGACUUCAUUUGUAUAUCUGCUCAUCAUAUUCUUAUGGUUGAUUGGGAUUUGUAUUAUCAACUCAAUGUUGGAGAACCUCUAAACCUUGUCAAGGAUAGCACAUUUAGCUUGAGUGAUGAUUUGAAACAGUUAGGAUUUCUUUCAAGCAGUCUCCUCCAACUAUUGUGCUCUUUACUUGAGCAAAGUGACCUGGAAGACAACAAUGGACAAGAUAUCUAUGCUAAGCUUGUAGGUGUAAUUCCUAAGUUAGUGGCUAUAUUACCAGAGCAUCAGGAUGCCCCCAAAAGUCUCUCUCAGUACUUAAAGCACAAAUUUCUGAUGAUAAUGAUGCGGCUAAAGCCUUACAUCCAGAAGGAUUGCUCAUAUAUUGUUUGCUGCCUGAAAUUACUUCGACAACAUUUCCAGGAUCUUCUUCAUGAACCUAUAAUGCAACAUAUUGCUAAACCAGAAAACUGUUUGGAAGGAUCCCCAUUUUUGUUGAGCACUGUAGGUCUGGGUGAGACUCAUGAUAAAUCCACUAGGCACUUACAAAGACAGGCUAUGUAUUUGUUUCUUAGCUUUUGCAUAUGUUUGGCUCACAAUGGCAAUGACAGUGCACUGCAAUGUUCAUGCAAGAGAGACGAUCAAAUGCUUGGUCACAAAGUUCUAGACUGCAGUGAUCAUUGUGACUGUUUUGCCUUAUCAGAAAUUUCAGACUGGUUUCAGAGAUGUUUCUUAGAUAAGAUUUUUGGCUUCAAAUCAUCUACAGACAAUGCUCUGUGCUUUCUGCAGUUAUAUAUGGAGGAGGAUGACAUGCUGUUCAACGUUCUCUUACAACUUCUUGAUGCUCCACUCAUUUCCUCGAAAAUAGAUAGCAUGGAGAAUAGAUGGGCUUCUGAACUGAUUGGUGGCAAACUGUUCUCGAGCAUUUUUGACCCAGUUCAUGUUUUCCAUCUCUUGCUUUUAUUGCUGCACUAUGAUCACUUGGUGCUUGUUGAUUAUCUGAUAUCUAAAGAUGUAGGUGUGCAUUGCGCACAGUAUCUGUUAAGGUGCUUACGCCUGGUAACCCAAUGUUGGCAUUCUUUCACUGAUGAUUCAAUUUAUGAGGCAAAAAUAGAGAAACUUAACUUUAAAAGGCAGAAGACCUUCAAUGAUGCAAAUAGUAGCAGUGGUAGCUCAAUUGAAGGCCCUAAGUUAGGUUCUGCAUGUCAUAAGAAAAGCAAGAACAAACACAAGCUUUUUCUAAAUGCUAAAGCAUGCCUCCUUUCAUUGAAGAGAACACUGGAAGAUCUUCAUAGGAAGGGUCUGUUCCCUUACAAUCCAAAGCCUCUCCUCAAGAGCUUGGCCAGGUUUGAGGAGCUUUGUGAGCAGGAUUGAAAUUUGAGUAGCAUGUUGUUACAUGCUACUCGUGGAAUGACCUUCUGGCUCAUCCGCCGUUUGGCAUCCUUGUCAGGGUGGCCGCUGCAAAAUGGAGGUGCAAUCAGCUUGAUUAUCUUCUCUUGAUUUACUAGUAUACCUUUAGCCCUACUUUUCUGGGCCUAAUUUCAUGUUGCUUAUGAGUUACAUGAACCAUUAGCAGUGAAAUACUCAUUCUCCUGUCUCGCCUUAAAACUGAUUGAUCAUUUUCAUACGUGAACACUAGCCUGCCCCUUGAAACGAAUGAAAUUAUCCUGUACAUGUUACUUUCUAACUGAACUCUCCUGCUACAUCAAUACAUAUAAGGCAUUUCUUGCCUAAGUUUUCAAAACAAGAAAAAGAAAAGAAAAGAAAAUGAAUGAACGAAUGAAUGUUACUUCACUAGCUAGUAGCCUAGUACGAAGUACUAUUUAUUUAACUAGCGUGCAUAUACUAGUUACUUUGAUAGAUUGCUACAAUUCGAUAGAGAAAAUGUGAAACUUCUUAAUUGAUUUGAGAGAGAAACAAUAAUUUUGUAGUGUUCUAUGUAGUGCAGCUUGGUGAGCCUAACGUAUUGGACUGGACCAGCGCUAGAGCUGCUACAUAAAUGUCAUUUCAUAUUGGCCAAGUUUUAUAGUCGUAUCUGGCUAACUAACCCGCCCGGAUUGACUUGGUCAGUCAGGUACUUCGUGCGAUAGACAAUGCACGGUCAGAGAAGGCGAGAGAGCAAAGUCAUUGCUCCAAGACUUCCAUUGCUUGCUAGUCUGAAAGCAAAGCUUGUGUCUCAUUCAGAAUGAACAGCACAUAGGCUGGCCUCUCCGUGCAUCUAUAUAAACUGGCCCUGAUCAAUCUCAUCUUCCAUCAGAG